ACCCACCCAGUGCUGAUUUAACAUUAUGUCUUUCCGAAUCUUUGGCACUCCAGGAGUGUCAUUCACCCUGGGGCUGACAAGGCUGUCUCUGAAUGCUGGGAUUCAUUUCACUGACUUGAAUGAGAAUUAUCUUGUGUCCAGUGCCUGGCUGCUACCUGCAGCUGUCAGGAAGUGGUGAUCAAGCAGAACCACCAAAUUUCCAUGUGGGGACUGCUUCAGUCCCUGCUAAGAAAGUAAGUUUAAUUGGAAAAACUGAAUGAAAAAGGAGGGACUGUAACCAUCCCUAAAUCACAAAGGGCUGCUGUCUUCAUUGCAGACAGGAUUAUGGGGAACAAUGAAAGGGGAUGCAGAAACUCGACUGAAUUUUCAAAACAAGCCAAUCCAGAAUUGUUUCUGAUGGAGACAAAUGUCCACCCGGGACUACGAUGAGAUCAUUGAAGUCAUUUCUACUUGCGACUUCAGCAGAAAAACACAUUAACUUGUCAUUUUUUUUACCACAAGUUUCACUUCCUACAAGCAACAGUUAUGUGGUCUGAGAGGGUAUUAAACUUUAGAUCACAUCAGGACCACAGCAAUUCAGCAUAAGUGACUUUCUAUUUCCUCUCAGCUGAAAACAGACCUUUCUUGAACAAAGCACAACAACAUUCAGAGAGCAUCAAUGUGUACAGCAUAGAGUGCUCUUGGGCUUCAUGGUGAACAUACUGUGAAUUCCAUUUUAUUCACAAGUAUCAUAUUUAUGCUGUAAAAUUCUGAAAUUC